GACGAACGCUGGCGGCGUGCUUAACACAUGCAAGUCGAACGAUGAAGCCCAGCUUGCUGGGUGGAUUAGUGGCGAACGGGUGAGUAACACGUGGGCAACCUGCCCCAAACUCUGGGAUAACUCGUCGAAAGCGGUGCUAAUACCGGAUACGAACUAGACAGACAUCUGUACUAGUUGGAAAGUUUUUCGGUUUGGGAUGGGCCCGCGGCCGAUCAGCUUGUUGGUGAGGUAACGGCUCACCAAGGCUACGACGGGUAACCGGCCUGAGAGGGCGACCGGUCACACUGGGACUGAGACACGGCCCAGGCUCCUACGGGAGGCAGCAGUGGGGAAUAUUGCGCAAUGGGCGAAAGCCUGACGCAGCGACGCCGCGUGAGGGAUGAAGGUCUUCGGAUCGUAAACCUCUUUCAGUAGGGACGAAGCGAAAGUGACGGUACCUAAAGAAGAAGCACCGGCUAACUACGUGCCAGCCGCCGCCGUAA
rnacentral:rRNA from 1 species